CGCUGCGGCCGGGCCGGGGAGGGGGCGGGGGCCGGGGGCUGGGUCCCCGCGGAACUUCCAGAUUGGAAGUGUGGCGAGUCUCUCGGGAACCCACAUUUUCUUUUCGGAUUCUCCGCGAAGGGGUGGAGAAACAGGAUGGAAACCGGAUUGGUUGCAAUGUGGCACAGAACUGGAACCUUCCUGAGAGAGGUUGGGGCAGGCAGUGACUGUUCAGACGUCCAGUUUCUUUGGGACACCUCUUCAGCGCUGUCGCCCCUGCCUUUGGGACGAGUCGCAGACACCAACAAACUCAAGGCACGUUCCCCCUCUCAGGUCUGCUGCGAAGGGACGGGAGGAAGAUACAGCCUUGCCCUCCUUCAACUUCCAGUUCUUGUUUGUUUUCGAAAUGUUUUGUUUCAAAUAUUAAUGGACGAUAUGACAAUACGGAUAUGUCCCCUCCUCGUGAAGAGCAAGCGAGCAACCGCCCACCAGCCCCCGUCAAGCGUGCCUUGCACUCCCGGGGACAAACGGACGUGGCAGGAGUUGAGAUGCCCGAGAUGCAGCUGGGAAGGACGGUCCAUAGUGGAAGGCGAGGGCCAAGCUUGAGCUCUCUCGGCGCUCGCCAGCGUAGGACCAAGUAGCUUCCAAACUUGCCUUUGCCUCUUGCGAGGCGUCGGGGCCCACGGUGGUGAUGCUUCAAAGGCGGGAGGACAAAGUGCUGGGGACAAGAAUAUACCAGGCGCCCAGAAGGUUCUAACAGGCGCGCCAAGACACUAAGACCGUGUUUCCUUCCUGCGUGGUGGUGGCCGUUGGUUGUGCAUGGGCUGCGAAGAUUGGAUUUCUGAGAGGUCAAAGCUGCAGGAGAAAAACAAAAACCAAAUAAACUUAGAAGCCUGCCAAGCUCCCUCUCUUUCUCUCUCAGCGCUCUCUGACUGGCCCAAGCUGAGCUGCACCCCAGACACUUUCUCCCUCUGGAGGAUGGGCCUUUCUUUCCCAGGCACGAAGAGCAUGUGUCCCACUGGGUUCUUGCCUUCAAGAGCAGUCUGAACCCUGCGGAGGCCGAGGGCAAGGUGCCUUGAAAGAGGCAGGCACAUUCACGCUCUCACGUCUAGGGUUUCGCCUUUCUUACAGUACAGUAUUCAUAGUGAGGGGUACUUCACACCCCUCCUCUCCCUAUCUCCGUUCCCACCCCACGACGUCUGAGCCCACAGUUACUCUCAGGGUGUCUACACUCAUAGGUUUUGCGCCCAGGGCACGCUGUCUGCAGGGGAAGCGGGUGGGGCCCUUAUCAGAAGCUCCCGGAGCGAGUCCCUUUUAAGAAUGAGAAGCAGGAAAGAAAAUAGAGAUGCAAUCUUUACACUCUGCAUUCUGUCCCUAGUAAGAGAAUAUGUAACUCCUGUUCUUUCCUUCAUUGUUCCAGGAAUUACCCUCUUUCUCCAGGGAAUCCACCAGUUGGUGAUUAAGGGAUUUUUAAUUGUGCUUGUUAUGUACUUAACAAAAUACAGUGUGUCUUCUGGUGGCAUUGUUUCAUUGGGAAAUUAGAAAAGUAGAGAGAAGCUACGUAAUCUAGUUCCUAGGUGAUCUCUGGAAAGUUGGCCUCAUGCUGGAUGACUAAAUAUGAAGUGUAUAAGAUUUGAAAGAAAGGAAGAGAGCUGAAGGCCUGGUGAUAGUGUUUGUGAGAAAUGGAAGAUGUUACACUCCAGCAUUUGUUGAGGGAAUGAGGAAGAACUUAUGAAAACUACGUGAUUUCAUUCAGUUUUGUGGCACUGGCACUUCAGCUUAUGAUUGCAGUUGCUUGAUAAAUGAAUACUAGUAAUUUUUGGCAUAGAAUAAUUGCAAAUGCUAGUGAUGAAAUCUAAAGGAAACCUCAACCCAUAGUCAACAAAAAGUAUUUUGAUUUUUAUGGUUCAUGUAGUUUAAAUACUUAUCUCAUUUUUUUUUUCCUUUGCAGAAUUAUUUUCUUAUAAAAAUUUCCAUUAGGUGUCAGUCUGACUGAGCUGGUUCUUAUUUAAGUUUGGGGGGGAAAGUGUUUCAUCAUCAGACCUUUUAAGAUAAGAAAGAGGAAAAAAUUCAAAACUGUAUUAAAUUGAAAUUAUUGCAGUUAAUUGUUCUUGUUACAAGGCAGCUUUUUCCCCUCAGAAAAUAGAAUUUUAAAUUACAUCAAUACUAGUCAAUUAUUGCUUUUGCCCUGUCAGUGUCCAUAGCCAAGAUUAAAGAAGUACAAAAUGCUUGUUUGUGCUUUACAUGCUAGAACCAAGUAAUAUUGAAUAGUCAUAAUUGCUGGUUGGUUUCUCAGUUGAUGUCCAAAUACUAGAACAGUACGCAUCUUUUUUAAAAAUUUGUUUGUUUUACAAAGGUGAUUGAAUUUUUUUUUUUUCUGAAAAAAAGAACAUGGAUGCAGCUUAGACUAUUCAUUUGACAAUAAAACUUAGGGCAUAGUGGAAAAGGAGAGAGAAAACUUAUGAAAAUUGCUUUCCUCCUCCCCACUAGUUUUAAUUUAAUCAAGCCUUUCUAAAUACUCAAAUUUUUAUGAAGAUAAGUUAUGGCUUAUAAAUGGAAGAUUUUGGGUUUCCCAUGGAAAUUUAUAUAAUGUCUAUGAACUUUCAAUUUUCUACUGUGAUAUUCAUUAAUAGGUGUAAGAAACAUCAUCUUGUUUGAUGGUUUGCUACUGAGUCCCAGGUAAGGACCUUGAUAGAAAGAAUUUACUUGUUUUAUUCUUUGUUUGUGAAUCAUGAUCUGAUGUUUUGCUUGAAUAGAAUUUGCAGGUAAUGGUGGUAUUCAUGGUUAAAGAUCCACAGAGGAUCAAGACAACCACUAUGUGUAUAUAAAAAAGAAGUAUUGGACUGAUGAAUCUAAGUAUACUUUUUAAUAAAUAAUCAUUUCCUGGAAUCAGGAUCUUUCCCUGAGACCACUGGUAGCCCUAGUAUGAUGUGGUUCUUGGUUACAGCAACACCAAUCUAGAACCAGAUUAGAGCUCCCAAUGAAAGUCCAGGCAAAGGAGAGAAAUGAUAAAGUAGCAGUUUCAUGGAUGGAAAUUUCUAUAAACUGUAUUGUCAUUUUUCCUAUUAUAUUCCAUAUUAGUAAUGGUAAAUUUUAAAAUAUAUAAAUAGAAAACAAAAGUGGAGAUGAUGGGUAUAUUGGGACAUAUUUUGGGUUUUAUGUGGGACAAAGGGUAAGUACUAGGAUGUAGACAAGACAGUAUAAGGCCAUCAUGAUUAUUCACCAUCCUGUCGGUACUGUACAGGUGCUGCAAUUAUUAUAUCACAGAAGUGACAGAAUGAUGUUCUUACAAUGUUAGAAAGUAGUGAUUCUACGUAUUAGACUUAAAAUUUAAAAGUAAAUUUCUUUUGGAAAUGUUUUCAGUAAUAAGGGAGUAUAUAUAAAUGAAAUCAGAAUAGUGACCACCUAAAUCUUUGAGUUUUGAAUUCUGCUAUAGUCUAGCUAGUAAUAAUGCAAGCUUAGUAAGACAAUUUCAUUCAAAAUGAAAAGUAUUGUAAUAUCUAUACUAGUGUAAAGGUACUUUUCGUUGGCUUUGUUUUUGGAAAUAGCUUUUGAGACUCAGUAAUAAUUCACAGUAUCUGAAAAUAUACACAUAUACCAGCUAGAACCAAAAGUAUUUUAAAAACAAACAAAAAACCCCUAUGAAUUCUAAAACAUUCAGUUUAAAUAAUUUUUAAAUAAGGCUUAUUACAUUAUUAGUUUAAAAUCACUACUGAAUUUCAGUUAAGUUUCAAACUAAAAAUUUAAUGUAAUCAAUUUACUAAUACUGUGUUUUAGUUCAAAUACAAUUUAUAUCAUAAUACACUUUUUAAAAUUUUGACAAAUUAUAUUGCAAUGGUGAUAUAAUUGCAUAAUUUGAAAGUAGCAUCUAUUCAUAAACUUGAAUAAAAUGUGUCCUGUUUGGAAACACUGUUCCUAAAAUGAUUACUUUUGUAAAAAUGAUAUAAUUUAAUUCAAAAAUUAUUAUUUCUUAUAAUUUUGUUUUUUAAGUUUGUUUCCCAUACAUGAGAAAAUUAAUUGUUUGAAGUAUAUCUUUAUCUGUGUGAGCAAGUGUGUUCAAUUUCAAGAACUGGUUCAAACAAAUCCCGAGAUAAAAACUAAAAGUUACUUAUUUAAAAUAGUUUUUAUAUAUCUGCCAAAUAUUCCAUUAGGUUUUGAACUACAAGAAGUACGAGUAAAUGAAUAUCAUGCCUAAUAUUCUAUCAGAAACUGACAUGAGGAAAAGAUCUCUUCCUUUGUAAUAGAAAUAUAUUAUAAGAUUUAUAGAUAUCCUGGAUUGUUACACAUGACUACAGAGAAAUUAAAGUUAUAGAAUCAUUACUUUACGGGUCCAGUUUCAUGCACAGUUUUUUUCUUGACUAUUAUUUAAACAAGCAGGCUUUGAUGGUGUUUACAAAGACAAAACAAAUUGGAGAAUCGAGUCAGUAUACAGAAAGACCUCAAAUUUCACUUUGUCCCCAAUUAUAUGGUACUUAAAGGGAGAGAGUAUAUCUUAUGGUGGGAAAAGCUUUGGAAUAAGACUAGAAAAAUCUGAUUUUGAGUACAGCUUGUGUUGUGAACUAUGGCAAUGGACCAGUCAGAUAGCUUGCCUAGUCCUCAGUUGCCUCCUCCACAAGGAGGGCUAGAUUUAAAUUCUUUCAAGGCCUUUCUACCUGUUUAGGAUUCCAUUUCAAAGAAAGCCUCUUUUUUUUGUUCUGAAUUCUACUCUUCAUUUUAGGUGCAGAUAGUAUUGUGCAAAUGGACACUACAACUAAGAAAGAAGCUUUAAAAAAGUAUUCACCAGCAUAUUUUGUCUUGUUAUUGAACAAGAAAUUGGUCUUCUAGAAUUUUUACUUAAAUUCUUAAAACAUGAAACACAUGGGAACAUUUUUAUCACUUUUUCAUACUUCAAUUUUUGUUUCAAGUUUUAGUAGGAAAGAAAAGCCCCAAAAGAAUGAUUUACAGAUUAUUCUAAAUCUGUAAAUAAUUUACAGAUUAUUCUAAUGUGUUAUUAUGGACCUGCAUAUAUAUUUGUAUAACAAAUUUAAAGAUUCAUCCCCAAAAGCAUUUCAGCCUAAUGAAACAAAUUCACAAACAACUGUAUUUAAAGUCAAUAUAUGUGAUUGCAGUGGAUAAAGAAUAAACACUUGGCCUUUUAAAAUGUUUAUUCUGUGUGUAAAUGUUUAUGCUAUUAAAUUUAAUUACAACUUUUGGAAGAAUUGGGUUUUUUUUCUAUUUUGUUAAAAAUGACCAAUAUUUGUCUAGGAUAUUUAGCUCUACUAUAAUCCUAUAGCCUUUUAAAAUACCUCGUCCCGUGGCUGGCAUGAUUGGCGCUCAAAAAUAUUUAUUAAUUUAGUGAAAGCAAUGAUAUCCUUUCAGGAUAUAUGUUAAUAUAAAAUUUUAUAUUUUUAAUAAUUAAUGUCCUUUUAAAAGUAAUUAUUAUAUAAAAUGACUGUUGCACUGCUAUGUUGUUUAAUGUUAACGAUUUUUAAUUCUCAAAUUUGUUUACUAAUGGGGCAGUUCUUUGCUAAGAAAGAAAAUUUAUUCUGUUUCUUAGAUAGGACUCUCAAAUAAUUGAAAAACCUAUGAAAACAUUUCUUUCAAGGUGGUAUUCUGUUUGAAACUCCAAAUAACUGUUUAAUCUGCUAUUGAAAUAGAAUAAUUUUACUCUAUAUGAAUGUCACCUAAGGUAUUUUAUUUAAUAUUAAGUAUAUAAAUAUUUGUAAGAAUUAAUAAAUUUAUUAACAAGUAAUCAAUAGAAUUACACUUUAUGCAAUGUAAUAAUUACUAUGAUACAUGUAUUUUCAAAGCUAAGGAACUGUGCAAUUUUUUAAAAACUUUUUUUAUUAUUUCCUAGGAAAGCAGACUAAAUUGUAAUUUUCACUUGAAAGGUGUGAGUGUCCUGAAUGUUCCAAGUAUAGUAAAUAUAAGUUGACCUCAAUCACAAAAGAAUAUACCCAUUCGCUAAAAAUUAAACUAUUAAUAGUUCAUCAGCUACUGCUUUAUCCAGAUAAUUUACAUAAUGCCUAUUCACAGUUUAAUGAUGGGUAUGAAACAUUAUGUUCAGUUAAAAGUUUGAGAAUAGGUUCACAAAAAGUUUUAUAAAGCUUUCAAAUGCAAUUGGUUUCAAAUAAAUAUCUGGGGUAGGAGUGUGAGGUUUGGAGCCACUUAUUUACAUUCUUAUUAAAAUAUCUCAUGUUUCUUUAGGUUGUUGGAUGUGGUUGUCCAAAAGAUAGCUUUAAGAUUAUUUUAAUAUUAUAUAUUAGAACAGAGUCAAAAUAAGAGUAUUAUUUACCACAAACGAAGAGGGUUUUUGUUAGCUGUGGAUGUUAUAUUUAUUAAAAAUAGAGGCUAACGACGUUAAACUUUUGAGUCAGUUUUACAUUUACAUCUGGUGAUUUGUGCAGAUAACAAUUGAAUUUGACAAGAGACAGGGGAAAUGGUAGCAAGUAACAGUGUUAAGGAUGUGGACUGUAGAGAGGAAUGUGCAGCUUUUGGUGAUGUAUUAAAGAAAUAAUAAUGAAAUUCCCGGUGGCUGUUUUAUUGAUAAAUCUAAUAGCUGGUACCCAUAAAGCUUUAAGAAAUAUCAAUUUUAGGAUGCAUUAGAAGAGAUCUUGUUCUUUUAGAUAGUGCCCUUUUUCCAGUUGUGAUGAUCAGUUGUAAAUAUUGAUUUUAUACAGUUUACCUAUAUCAAGACAUUCUUUCAUAGUGUGAAUUACAACUGUAUUCAAAAACUCUUGCUUUUAUUUAGGUAGAAAGUCAUCCUCUGGUAUAGAACUAUAAAUCAAUUAAAAUAUAAAUAAUCUCUGAGUAAAGUGGGCCUAGCUUAUAUGUACAAAAUUGAGAAAGGCAGGAAAUCUGGAUGUUUCUCAAGUCAAAAGAAAGAACAUCAAUCUGAAAAGACAGACUUCUGAAAAUUAAGCCUAAGGAAGAAAUGGCUUAAAAGAGCUAGCCUUUUUUAUCCAUUUUUCUAUUGGAAAACAUAUAUAUUAUAUUUGAAUUUAUGCUUUGGAAAUAAAUUAAUGUAGGAGAAUUUGGUUAAGACGGUGUUUCCGGAUAUAAAAUACCAAUACUAAGAGUUGCAUUUUUCCUCCUCACUGUAAUUGAUUUAUGUUUUAGAGAGAAGGGCUAUUUAAUUAACCGUGGUAAAAAUAUAAAAGAUUGACAUGUUUGUCCUUCCCUGGCUUGGCCUUUAUUUCUGAAGACAUAACAUUUCCACUUGAUCAUUUGUUUUCUUUUGAUGUAAUUAUUUUCCAGUCCAUUAUCCACACAGAAUACAAAAUUUCACGAGUCUUGGAUAAACUCAUAGCAAAUUCAUAUGAUAUUUAACUAUUAUGAUAAAUUUCUCUCUCAGAUCUAGUUAUUUGGUAUAUACUACAACUCCCAUGUCUUAUGUAUGAAGUCCUCACAACAUAGAGAAUCUAAGUAACUUCUCCAUGGACACCCAGAUAAUAUUUGGAACCCAUUUUCCAAGUCCUCAUUGGAUGUUUUAUUUCUAACAUACCACACUAAAACUUCUAUGUUGAAGUUUUUUUUUGCAACUUUACUCUUCCUAGUGUCUGACAAUAAUUCUUACAAUUUUCAUACUAUUCAGCAACUAUUUUUACUCAAUCCAUCUAAUUUAAUAAACUUUUUAGAAAGUUUGUUUGUAUAUAAACUUUACAUACAAUGUAAAUAUGCCAAUAGAUUCCCAAGGCCUGUAGUAUGCUUGCACAUACGAAUUUUCAAAAUCUUGCAAAAUUUUAUAGGCUAAAUUAAUAUUAAUAUAGAAACAAAAUUAAAUCAUACUUAAAGGAAUAACUUGAUCUUUUACCCUAGUUACAAAUAUUUCAGUAAAACAAGGAAAAUGUUAAUCAGAAUUACAUCAACUCAAUUUAAUAAGCUUCUAAAUGCAAAUGUUGACUAAUAGAUUGGAUUGACAAACAUUUUUCAUGCAGUGUAUUCAAUGGAAAAUUUAAAAUAAUAUUACUAAAUAAUACUAACCCAGUGAUGUCCUCAUAUCAAGGAACAGAAAUAAAAUCACAUUUUAACAUACAAUUUAAAAUUGUAUUUAUUCUCCUUAUUUCAGUUUUUAAAUAUGCAAAGCUAUCUUAUUGAAUAAAAAGCAACUCUUGGAUUAGAGCAAAGUAAAAUUCUCCAUUUUGCAAAACUCUUGUCCACUUCUGUUGUGCUAUUUAUGAAAAUUGCAUAGUGGUCUGUAACUGACACAUUGAGGUUACUUGUAAUGCUAACCAGUUAAGGGUCUCAGAAAGUUAAUUUCUCACUGUGGGGUCACCCAGCUUAACAAUCAAAGAAGCAUGCUCCCUUUACAUUUGUUGCUUAAGGAGGAAAGAUGCAUUCUGAGAAAUACAUAUGCUGUUAGGGGAUUUUGUUGUUGUGCAAACAUCAUUGAGUGUAUUUAUACAAACCUAGAUAGUACAGCCUACUGCACACCUAGGUAGUAU